rnacentral:lncRNA from 1 species
CCCCCCCGGGAGGUGACUAUGACCACUUGAGUCUGAGCAGAUAACAUCUCCUGGAGGCUAGAGGAAGUGAAAUACAUAGAGAAGCUAGCCCGGGGAGGGCCUGCUUUAGUAAUCUGUGGCUAUGAGAGCUGAGUCAGAGGAAGAGCUUCUAGGAAUGGGCUGAUUUGGUAAUCAUUGGAGCUGAAGGAAGCCUCUGGAGUUUGGGAGGGGGUGAGAGUGGACUAGGUAUUGAGGGACCAGGCUGAGCCUCACCCCUGCACCCACAGCUCAGGUCAGGUGUUCCUGCUGCUGUUUGCUGUCCUGGCUCACACGAGACCAUGUGGCCUCUUGCCUCAUCCGAUGGGGAAAGCUCAUCAGAAUUCUCAGAAUCCAGGAGCUACUGAGAAGCCAACGGGCCUCUUGUGCAGCUUUUUGAUAGAAAUGGGGCAGGACGUGCUGUUUCUAACCCUUUGAGUCGAGCCCAGGGUUUCCCUGGUGCCUGGACAAUGUUGGCCAAGAGCUGGGGUGUGGGAGGCACAUGUUCCUCAUACUCAGUUCAGGGAAUCUGGCUGGCUAUCAGUCUCAUCUCUCGCUGCAAACCCAGGCUUUCCACCUCCCCACCGCAUCCUACCCAAGACAAGCUCAGAAUCCCACGCUUUGCCCUUCCCCCAACCCAACAUCCUUAGAUGGAAAGGGGAGUUUCAGAGAUGCUACUGGCAGCUGUUGUGUGGCUGACCAAGGAGAGCUAAGACUCAGAAGCUUACACAAGGGCAGAGGGGGUUCCCAGCCCAGAGAGGUCCAAUCUGGUGUGGGCAGGAAGGUGACAGAGGAAGUGUGGGAAAGCAGUUAGUGAUGCCUAAGGAAGAUGCUGAACAUUUUGAAAGUGUCAAGAGCAGCUGGGAAGGAGACACGAGGGUCGUAAUCAAGAUGGCAGCCCGGGAGAAGACUGCAGAGGCGUUCGAAUAAAGUGUUUUCCAAAACUUCGGACUCGUUCUCC